CCCUUAGACGUUCUGGGCCGCACGCGCGCUACACUGACCAGUGCAACAAGCAUCCGUCCUUGGCCGACAGGCUCGGGCAAUCUUUGAACGCUGGUCGUGAUGGGGAUAGACUUUUGCAAUUUUUGGUCUUCAACGAGGAAUUCCUAGUAAACGCAAGUCAUCAACUUGCAUUGAUUACGUCCCUUCCCUUUGUACACACCGCCCGUCGCACCUACCGAUUGAAUGGUCCGGUGAAGCCUCCGGAUUGGCGCGCACCUCGGUGCCGCCGAGAAGUUGGCUAAACCUUACCAUUUAGAGGAAGGUGAANUCGUANCA
rnacentral:rRNA from 1 species